UUCAAUUUGGAAAAUUGACAAUAAAAUAAAAUACUCAUUUUUUUAAAAAGCAAUGUAGAUAAUUGAACUUGUAUUGAAUAAUAAAUGGCAAACUUAAACUAAUAUACUACUAAUAAUUUUUGGAAAUUUGGGACCCUAAAAAAACUAUAUAUUUUGGGGGCCCUAGGCGAAAGCAUUUUUGGAUACACGGCUCUGGGUUGGAGACAGUGAAGAGUCCAUUGUUUCUUCGAGUAAGUUUUUUUGUGAGAAAGAGACUAUCGAUGGAGGAUAAAUAAUAAGCAAAAGCAGAGGGGAAGAGUGAGAGUGACGGUAGCUAGAGAGAGAUAGAGAAAGAUAUAGGCGUUACUUGUGAUUUCUGAUUUUGAACAGAUGAAAGAAUAUUUUUACUGAACUCUAAUUCCAAAAUAUAUUUUGUUUUUGGACAAAAUUGAUAGUGAAAUCAAAUGUUUUAAAUUUUACAUAACAUGAUUUUGAUUGAAUACGAAAUGAAAUUGGAAAAUAGUAUAUUUUUUGAGUGAAAUAUCGUCAACUGCAGAAGAAGAAUGGUGAUAGGGAAAACAAACAGAGAGAUGGAAGUGGAGCGUGAGAGUCAUGUGCGUUGGGGGAGGAGCGUGAGUUGCAGCAAGGGGUAACGUGGGGGGAAGAUGUGAUACUAAUGAGAAGAAGGAAUGGAAUGGGUCCCACUUUUCUCUUUUCUUCUCGUGGUUUUUUUUUUGGUUUCUUUCACCAAAAUUCUGAAGACUCUACGUUCAAACACAACCUUCGGGUCUAACUGCUAAUCAAGUUUAGGAAUGCUAUGAAUGCAAGGAAUUGAAAAAAAUGGAAUGCCACCUAAUGGAAUGAUAGAAGUUAUGAAAUAAAAUAAGUGGAAUGGAUAAUUGCAAAAAAAUAUUUUUAUAACACAAAUGGUAACUUUUUUAAGGAAUAGAAUGGAAUGAAAUUAAUUUUUAAUUUAAAUUAAAUAAUGUUAAAAAGAAACAAUAAUGUAACCAUUUGUACACAACUUGGAAAUGUAGCAAACAAAAUGUACUAGGCUAUAGACAACAUAUCGAUCAAGAAACAGUAAAAUUUAAGCUUUUUUUUUCUCAGAAACAAACAGCAUAACAAUUAUAAAAGGAAAUAAGACAUACUAGGAGAAAGCAAAUUUUGAUCGGUGGGUUUGAUAGUCUACGUAUUAAUGUUUAAAUAAGAAGAAGAUGUUGCUAUUAUUUAGUUAGUAACAAACCUUAAAAAUCUACCAGAACAGAUUUUAAAUUUUAAAACCUUAACAAAUCAACUAUCUGACUGCGAUAAGUAAGUUAAAAAAAUAUUUAAACUUAAUCAAACUUUUAUUUUUGAUUUAGUUUGAUUCCAUUCCAGUCAUUCACGUUCUUUUUUUAUCAUGAAAGGAUUAUAACUACAUUCCAUUUGGUUCCACCUAUCUUACAGGAAUUAAUGGAAUGACAAUUGUUUUUAAUUCCACUUAAAUGGUGCAUUUUCUUUGGAAUCUCUUGGAAUAAGCUAUUCCAAACAGUUUUAUUCCAAAAAAUACCAAUCCAGUUACACCCUUCGUAUUAUUAUUAACCCCGGUCUCUUAGAUAAAGUUCUUAACUUCGGAUAAGAGACGGUUCUUAGUUUUUUUUAGAUUUUAAUUAAAAAAAGUUAAGAACUGUCUCUUAAAUAAAAGAUAUAAAAAUCAUCUCUUAGCCGAAAAAUGUAAAACAAAAAAAAAAUAAAAAAGUGUCAAAUCAUGAGUUAAGAAUCUCAGCUAAAAGACCGGAGUUAAUCAUGUCCUUAUUUCUCGAAUGAUAUCUAGGUUUAGGUAGUGUUUGUAAAAGUCCAACUGUAUUAUUCUGUAAAACUUCUUACGGUUAAAUUAUAUAGUCAUUUCAAAUGUUCUCCUUUGAAAACUGAUGUUUUUUUUUUGUAAACUGGCUUUCUUAAUUAAAAUGCAAAAAGAAAUAAAACAUUACAAGCCAUAAGCUUAAACUUGUUUUGGGCUGAGCCCAGUGUUUUAAUCUUGAAAUAACACAUAUGACAGGAACUAGUAGCCCAAUUGAUUUUGAAAGGUCCUUGAGUUGAACUUUUGGAAGGGGAAGUUUGUAGAAAGAACGAGUCUGUGGAUUCCUUUGGUUGCUCCGCCUGAGAUCAUGAUCUAAGGAACCAGAACUGUGACAUCGCUGACGACGCUCUUGGGUUUGCAUGUCGGAUGCUCUGUAGGCGAUUACGGAUCUGCUUAUCAAUCAGAGAUAUGAUUGCUUUCGGGCGGUUUGAAGGUCUGUCGAUGGAAUCUUGAGUUUCGCUCUGUCCAAAACCAGUAGAUUACAGCCUGAGUUGCUAGAAGCGGGAGGCGGAGAGAGUCAUGAUUGGUUCGCAAGUCCUGAAGUUGAGCGACAAUAUCAUCCCAAGAGGUGAGAACUUGAAGAUCACACCGGUAUGCUAUCCGCCUCCAGACGCUUUCACUGUAUCGACACUCAAAGAAGAGGACAACGUUCAAGUAGGACCAAACCAAGUAAGGAAGUUGUGCCACGGGAUGCUGUAAGAGAUCCAAACGAUCUUAGCCCAAGGAACCGUCGAUUGGGAACCUUUAAGAUAAGUGUAUAUCACGCCUGUUUUGUACCUUUGUUCCAGUCUUCCAUCAACCACCCAUUCAUAACCAUCUUCCACUUCUGAUAACUCCACCAUGGUCAAAUGAACCUGUAGUGCUAAUUGGUUCUCAGUUUUUGCUGCAGGUAGAUGUCAACUCCCCGCGGAGAAGCGUGAUGCCACAGUUGCUGUCUUUGGGAUACCAAGACGCGAAGUGCUGGCGUUCAGAAACUUGUAUAGGUUUUCAAAGGGUGACCAAUUAUCAAACCAUUAUCUUUGAAAACUGAUGUUCGAAUAGAGAGAAGACCGUUUUAGUUGGAUGUUUCAUGUACGAUGUCUCUUCCUUUAUACUACAUGAAAUAUGGAUGUGCAUGGAAUUUACAAUUAUACAAGAAUGAAAUUAAAUACUUGAAGCA